GACGAACGCUGGCGGCGUGCUUAACACAUGCAAGUCGAACGAUGAACUUGGAGCUUGCUCUGGGGGAUUAGUGGCGAACGGGUGAGUAACACGUGAGUAACCUGCCCUGGACUCUGGGAUAACUUCGAGAAAUCGGAGCUAAUACCGGAUAGGACCUUGCACCGCCUGGUGUGGGGUGGAAAGUUUUUCGGUUUGGGAUGGACUCGCGGCCUAUCAGCUUGUUGGUGGGGUAAUGGCUCACCAAGGCGUCGACGGGUAGCCGGCCUGAGAGGGUGGCCGGCCACACUGGGACUGAGACACGGCCCAGACUCCUACGGGAGGCAGCAGUGGGGAAUAUUGCACAAUGGGCGCAAGCCUGAUGCAGCAACGCCGCGUGCGGGAUGACGGCCUUCGGGUUGUAAACCGCUUUUAGUAGGGAAGAAGCCUUCGGGUGACGGUACCUGCAGAAAAAGGACCGGCUAACUACGUGCCAGCCGCCGCGGUAAGAC
rnacentral:rRNA from 1 species